GACGAACCGUGCGAACGUUGUUCGGAAUCACUGGGCUUAAAGGGCGCGUAGGCGGCUUGCCAAGUCCGGGGUGAAAUCCUCCAGCUUAACUGGAGAAGUGCCCUGGAUACUGGCGAGCUCGAGCGAGGCAGGGGUUGUGGGAACUUCCGGUGGAGCGGUGGAAUGCGUUGAUAUCGGAAGGAACGCCGGUGGCGAAAGCGCACAACUGGUCCUCUUCUGACGCUGAGGCGCGAAAGCUCGGGGAGCGAACGGG
rnacentral:rRNA from 1 species